rnacentral:tRNA from 1 species
GCGGUUCGAUAGCUCAGCCUGGUAGAGCAACCAUCCACGAAAUGGUCUGUCGCGGGUUCGACUCCCGCUCGAACGCU